rnacentral:rRNA from 1 species
AGGUCUUGCCUGCCCCGUGAUUUAAUUUAACGGCCGCGGUAUCUUAACCGUGCAAAGGUAGCAUAAUCAAUUGUCCCUUAAAUUAGGACUAGUAUGAAUGGCACCACGAGGGUUUAACUGUCUCCCUCUUUUAAUCAAUGAAAUUAAUCUUCCCGUGAAGAAACGGGAAUAUAUAUAUAAGACGAGAAGACCCCAUGGAGCUUUAAACUUAUUAUCACUUAUUUAUUACAACAGCAUAACAGUUAAUAAGAAUGCUCUCUAAUAGUUUUUGGUUGGGGCGACCCUGGAGAAAAAUAAAUCCUCCAGAUUGAAAAGAAUAAUAAUCCUUAUACUAGAAUUACAAUUCAAAUAAACAAAAAUUUGACAAAACUGACCCAGAAUAACUGAUCAGUGAAC